UCUCCAGUGAAGAUCGGCUUAACCUCUGCUUCACUCCUCUGUUUGAAUGUUGGCCACUUACACAUCUAUCAACAAACAGCUGAGCUACGUGGAACCUGUGAGGACUCACACUAGCCAACAGACUAGUCACACUGAGCCAUCAAUGAUUUGACUGUUUGGAAUGCAGGGGAGAGAGAGAGGAAGAUGAAGACUUCUGUCAGGGGACACUGGGGGGAGGAGCCCUUUGAGGUAUGGAUAGCAAUAAGGAUGGGUACCCUACCAUGUGAUGAGCUGGUCACGGCCCUUCUGGAAGGGAGAGGAACACACACGAAGAUGCGGAAGUAUUCACGAGCACAGUACAUGCUCCUCCCUGAACGUCAUCAGCACCUGUUCCCCAACUACAAAUAUUCUUCUCACGUGAUCAGCCCACAUAAAUCGGCUGCUCAUUUGCUCCUGCAGAGUUUGUCCAGGUUCAGUGGGAAGAGCAGCAUUCAGAAUAAUGGGGAAAAUGUCUGUGUGCUGGGAGCAAGGUGAUGGACCAUUCAAGGAUGCUGUAGCACGGCAAGAAGCUAAGGUUCUGUUGAGACCCCUUGGACCUGCCUUGUGUCUCAAGAAAAAAACUGCCAUCCAACAUUUGUGCAGUUGCUUCAGUAAUUUCCCAGUGCCUUCUUGGGAAUGGGAGGGGGAAGACUCAGCCAGAUGCAUGCUUUUAAAAAUAAAUCAUGCACGAGAAAGAAGAGAAAGAUGAGGGAGUUCUCAGUUCAACACGAGAGGAAACACCCUGUCUUCAGGGAUACAACCAAUCAUCCUGGAUCAGAGGCCACACAGCAAGGGUUCAGAUGAGAAGCAGGCCUGCAGCUGGCAUACAAAUAAAGAGCUGGGAGGCUCUGUCUUACACAGGAGCCCGUCACAGAGGACUACAGAAUGCUGCCACAAACCAAGAAGGUAGAAGAAUAGACAGGUCAAAGGAGGAUUCCCUAUAGACAAGACCCUCUGGGCAUAGGUUUUCCCAUCUGUAGAACGUAGACUCAGCUUGAGGGAUGCAGGAGUACUCAUUGGGGGGGGGGGAAUCACAUCUGUGGUGUAAAGUGAAGCUUCUGUAGGGACGUGUACU
rnacentral:lncRNA from 1 species